rnacentral:rRNA from 1 species
AAUUUUGGACAAUGGGGGCAACCCUGAUCCAGCCAUCCCGCGUGUGCGAUGAAGGCCUUCGGGUUGUAAAGCACUCUUGGCAGGGAAGAAACAGCCUGUGCGAAUACCCUGGGUGACUGACGGUUCCUGCAAAACAUGCACCGGCUCACUACGUGCCAGCAGCCGCGGUAAUACGUUGGGUGCAAGCGUUAAUCGGAAUUACUGGGCGUAAAGCGUGCGCAGGCGGUUCGGAAAGAAAGGUGUGAAAUCCCAGGGCUUAACCUUGGAACUGCACUUUUAACUGCCGGGCUAGAGUACGUCAGAGGGGGGUAGAAUUCCACGUGUAGCAGUGAAAUGCGUAGAGAUGUGAAGGAAUACCGAUGGCGAAGGCAGCCCCCUGGGAUGAUACUGACGCUCAUGCACGAAAGCGUGGGGAGCAAAC